UACGGAGGGGGCUAGCGUUGUUCGGAAUUACUGGGCGUAAAGCGCGCGUAGGCGGCUUUGUAAGUUAGAGGUGAAAGCCCGGAGCUCAACUCCGGAAUUGCCUUUAAGACUGCAUCGCUAGAAUCAUGGAGAGGUUAGUGGAAUUCCGAGUGUAGAGGUGAAAUUCGUAGAUAUCCGGAGGAACACCAGUGGCGAAGGCGACUUCCUGGCCUGUUCUUGACGCCGAGGCGCGAAAGCCAGGGGAGCAAACGGG
rnacentral:rRNA from 1 species